rnacentral:rRNA from 1 species
AGAGUUUGAUCCUGGCUCAGAGCGAACGCUGGCGGCGUGCUUAACACAUGCAAGUCGAGUGCGCGGUGCUGUAGCAAUACAGUACUGGCGCACGGCGCACGGGUGAGUAACACGUGGGAACGUGCCCUAAGGUACGGAACAACUCCGGGAAACUGGAGCUAAUACCGUAUGUGCCCGAGAGGGGAAAGAUUUAUCGCCUUGGGAUCGGCCCGCGUCUGAUUAGCUAGUUGGUAGGGUAACGGCCUACCAAGGCUACGAUCAGUAGCUGGUCUGAGAGGAUGGCCAGCCACACUGGGACUGAGACACGGCCCAGACUCCUACGGGAGGCAGCAGUGGGGAAUAUUGGACAAUGGGCGAAAGCCUGAUCCAGCCAUGCCGCGUGAGUGAUGAAGGCCUUAGGGUUGUAAAGCUCUUUCGCCAGGGACGAUAAUGACGGUACCUGGAUAAGAAGCCCCGGCUAACUUCGUGCCAGCAGCCGCGGUAAUACGAAGGGGGCUAGCGUUGUUCGGAAUUACUGGGCGUAAAGCGUAUGUAGGCGGAUCGUUAAGUCGGGGGUGAAAUCCCGAGGCUCAACCUCGGAACUGCCUUCGAUACUGGCGAUCUUCGAGUCCGGGAGAGGUGAGUGGAACUCCGAGUGUAGAGGUGAAAUUCGUAGAUAUUCGGAAGAACACCAGUGGCGAAGGCGGCUCACUGGCCCGGUACUGACGCUGAAAUACGAAAGCGUGGGGAGCAAACAGGAUUAGAUACCCUAGUAGUCC